UUAAACUUGAGAGUUUGAUCCUGGCUCAGAACGAACGCUGGCGGCAGGCUUAACACAUGCAAGUCGAGCGCGUAGCAAUACGAGCGGCAGACGGGUGAGUAACGCGUGGGAAUCUACCCAUCUCUACGGAACAACUCCGGGAAACUGGAGCUAAUACCGUAUACGUCCUUUUGGAGAAAGAUUUAUCGGAGAUGGAUGAGCCCGCGUUGGAUUAGCUAGUUGGUGGGGUAAUGGCCUACCAAGGCGACGAUCCAUAGC
rnacentral:rRNA from 1 species